rnacentral:rRNA from 1 species
GACGAACGCUGGCGGCGUGCCUAAUACAUGCAAGUCGAACGCUGAAGGAGGAGCUUGCUCUUCUGGAUGAGUUGCGAACGGGUGAGUAACGCGUAGGUAACCUGCCUGGUAGCGGGGGAUAACUAUUGGAAACGAUAGCUAAUACCGCAUAACAGUAGAUGUUGCAUGACAUUUACUUAAAAGGUGCAAUUGCAUCACUACCAGAUGGACCUGCGUUGUAUUAGCUAGUUGGUGGGGUAACGGCUCACCAAGGCGACGAUACAUAGCCGACCUGAGAGGGUGAUCGGCCACACUGGGACUGAGACACGGCCCGGACUCCUACGGGAGGCAGCAGUAGGGAAUCUUCGGCAAUGGACGGAAGUCUGACCGAGCAACGCCGCGUGAGUGAAGAAGGUUUUCGGAUCGUAAAGCUCUGUUGUAAGAGAAGAACGAGUGUGAGAGUGGAAAGUUCACACUGUGACGGUAUCUUACCAGAAAGGGACGGCUAACUACGUG